rnacentral:rRNA from 1 species
GAGAGGGAAACAGCCCAGAUCAUCAGCUAAGGCCCCUAAGCGUGUGCUAAGUGGGAAAGGAUGUGGAGUUGCGCAGACAACCAGGAGGUUGGCUUAGAAGCAGCCACCCUUGAAAGAGUGCGUAAUAGCUCACUGGUCAAGUGAUUCCGCGCCGAUAAUGUAGCGGGGCUUAAGUUAUCCGCCGAAGCUGUGGCAACCUGUGUGGUUGGGUAGGGGAGCGUCGUGUCAGUGGUGAAGCUGCCGGGUGACUGUGUGGUGGAGUUGAUGCGAGUGAGAAUGCAGGCAUGAGUAGCGAAAGACGGGUGAGAAACCCGUCCUCCGAAAGACCAAGGGUUCCAGGGCCAGGUUCAUCCGCCCUGGGUAAGUCGGGACCUAAGGCGAGGCCGACAGGCGUAGUCGAUGGACAACGGGUUGAUAUUCCCGUACCGGUGUAGAACCGCCAGUGGCGAGGCCGGGGAUGCUAAGCACCCAAAGCCGCACUCACCUUCGGGUGGGUGUUGGUGGAGCGUGCGAUCCGAUCUGGUAGUAGUCAAGCGUAUUAACAGGGGUGACGCAGGAGGGUAGCUUCCGCGUGGCGAUGGUUGUCCACGUCCAAGGGUGUAGGACGAGGGGUUGGCAAAUCCGCUCCUCUUGCUUUGAUGCUGAGUCUGAGACCUGAUGGUGACCCCGUAGGGGGGAAGUAGGGUGAUCCCAUGCUGUCUAGAAAAGCCUCGGCGCGAGGUUCGAGCCGCCCGUACCCUAAACCGACUCAGGUGGUCAGGUAGAGAAUACCGAGGCGUGCGAGUGAAUCGUGGUUAAGGAACUCGGCAAAAUGCCCCCGUAACUUCGGGAGAAGGGGGGCCUGAGACGUGAAGCCGCUUGCCGGCUAGCGUUUGAGGGCCGCAGAGACCAGGGGGAAGCGACUGUUUACUAAAAACACAGGUCCGUGCGAAGUCGCAAGACGAUGUAUACGGACUGACGCCUGCCCGGUGCUGGAACGUUAAGGGGACCGGUUACCCACUUCGGUGGGGACGCUGAGAACUUAAGCGCCAGUAAACGGCGGUGGUAACUAUAACCAUCCUAAGGUAGCGAAAUUCCUUGUCGGGUAAGUUCCGACCUGCACGAAUGGCGUAACGACUUCCCUGCUGUCUCAACCGCGAACUCGGC